UCCCGCCUGAAGGGAGCGCUUAGCACGCUCAGCCGAGCUCCGUAGCGAGGAAGCUCGCAGCUCCCAGGCGGGUUUCCAGGUCUUUCGGGUGGUUUAUUGGCGUUUUCCGCCGUUGGGGCGCGGGACGGAAGAGCCGCCGCCAUCUCCUUCCCGCCCAGCGCUGCUGAGGGGAGCGGGGGCACCUGUGGGCGCCGCCGACCCGGACCCCGAAAAUGGGCGUUUGGGGGGCUACGCUAGCCUGAGAAUUCGUAAUGGAAGAAUAAAAGGAGUCCAGAACAUUGCCAUAAUUCUCUGUUUCUGCCUCUGUGCCUGAAUUAAUGUAGUGGCCACCUUUCUCUUCUACAGCACCGAUUUCAAAGCUUGAGUCCAUCAAAAGGCCCUGCAGUAACUUUUAUAACAGACUCAAACUGCCAGAUCCUCUUCCAAGAUGGUUUUCCUGAGCAAUCAGCUGUCUGAUCUGAGUGCAGCACCACACAAACACGGGAGCCAGCAGAAGGGACCUUCUGGAGUGUGGUGGCACGUGCCAAGCUCAAGGAAUACAGCCCAAGAGCAUGGGUGACCUUGAGCAGAACAGAAUAUUGAAAACCUGAUUCCUUCUACUGCACACAUUUUUAUUUUCUUUUGAGACUAAAUUGAAUUAUUUUAAAUUAAAUGUUAGCUUCUGAGCUGAAGACAAGAUCUGUCAGUGGCCUGGUUACAGAGAUCAUCAGCCUCCUGCUCUUGCAUGCUUUGUUUUUCCUCUUAACCUUUAUUCUCUCUGUGUGCCAUCUCAGCAAGGUUGUUUUAUCUUCCCUUCCCCUGGCUGCACUGCUUCUCAUCUGGGAAUAUUUGCUCUGGCUAAGUGCCAGCACAUUUCUUCUAGAGGAGGAACUUAAAUGCAAGACUUGGGCAAAACUAAAAUUCUUAAUCCAAGUUUGGGACUGGAUUAAGAGCAAGAACACAAAUUUCCAAAAUUCACAUGCCAGCACUGAGCUAAGUAGUUUAACUGAAAUCCAUUGAAAUCUGUGACCUCGUGUCUGGACUGCUGCUGGAACCCACUGGAGGCCUUGAGCAACAGAAUCCGGUUAAGUUUACCUACAUUUAAGCUUCAGCACUUGACUUUCAUUGCACUUUUAGCAUUCUAAACUUCUUAACAGGGUUCAUGUCUAGUUAGACUUCGGUGUCACAGCACCCUGAGAAGACAAAUGCAAAUUGAUUUACCAGAAUACUCAAAAUGUGGCCACAAAGACCAUGUAAGUACAGACAAGGCAUUUCUGAGCAUGAGACUGCCACCUGAAACCAAACCACUACACCAAAGUGCUCCAGGCAGCUUCUGUUGUACUUCUGGACUUUCUAGUGGUGGAACACACGCUUGCAAUGUUCCUUUGGAGAACUUCUCCUGUCUGGUUAGCAAUGUCCCUGUUAAAAUAACCAGCAGUGGGGUAGGAAGUGGGCUGGAGCCUGCUCUCCAGCACAUGAGGGAAAAUUUUAACUCCCCUCCCCACUCCAGUUGUUAAAUUGGCCCAUUGUUCCUGAUAUUCUUUGCUGAAAUCACAAGAUCCACGAAAGACUGGAGACUUCAAGACUCAGGAAAAGCUGAGACUAUUGAAAACAAGUAUUUAAGAUUUAAAGGGUGUUCACACCCAAAAAUAGCCCCCCCCAUAGAUACUGAUGUGAGUGGGAAGAGAUUAUCCAAGAGAUUGCCCAGGAAAAAGUGAGUAAAUGAAAGUGAAAA